rnacentral:rRNA from 1 species
AUUGAACGCUGGCGGCAGGCUUAACACAUGCAAGUCGUACGAAGCAUUUUCUAUGAAGUUUUCGGACGGAUUAGAUUAUGACUUAGUGGCGGACGGGUGAGUAACGCGUGGGUAACCUGCCUCAUACAGGGGGAUAACAGUUGGAAACGACUGCUAAGACCGCAUAAGCCUACAGUACCGCAUGGUACAGGAGGAAAAAAUUUAUUGGUAUGAGAUGGACCCGCGUCUGAUUAGCUAGUUGGUAAGGUAACGGCUUACCAAGGCGACGAUCAGGAGCCGACUUGAGAGAGUGAUCGGCCACAUUGGGACUGAGACACGGCCCAAAAUCCGACGGGAGGCAGCAGUGGGGAAUAUUGCACAAUGGGGGAAACCUGGAUGCAGCGACGCCGCGUGAGUGAAGAAGUAUUUCGGUAUGUAAAGCUCUAUCAGCAGGGAAGAUAAUGACGGUACCUGACUAAGAAGCCCCGGCUAACUACGUGCCAGCAGCCGCUGUAA